rnacentral:rRNA from 1 species
AACCUGGUUGAUCCUGCCAGUAGUCAUAUGCUUGUCUCAAAGACUAAGCCAUGCAUGUCUAAGUAUAAAUGAUGUACAAUGAAACUGCGAAUGGCUCAUUAAAACAGUUAUAGUUUAUUUGGUAAUCGACAAUUACAUGGAUAACCGUGGUAAUUCUAGAGCUAAUACAUGCUGUUGUGCCCGACUUCUUGGAAGGGCCGUAUUUAUUAGACAACAGCCAAUAGGACUCCGUCCAUUGAGGUGACUCAUAGUAACUGAUCGGAUCGCAUGGGCCUUGCCCGCGACAAACCAUUCAAGUUUCUGCCCCAUCAGCUGUCGAUGGUAGUGUAUUGGACUACCAUGGCUUUUACGGGUAACGGAGGAUUAGGGUUCGAUUCCGGAGAGGGAGCCUGAGAAACGGCUACCACAUCUAAGGAAGGCAGCAGGCGCGUAAAUUACCCAAUCCUGACUCAGGGAGGUAGUGACAAGAAAUAACGGACCGUGCCUAUAAAGCCGGGACUGGAAUGAGACGAAUUUACACCCAUUGUCGAUCACCAAUUGGAGGGCAAGUCUGGUGCCAGCAGCCGCGGUAAUUCCAGCUCCAAUAGC